UUUCGAAUCAUUCACAAUGGGCGAAAGCCUGAUGGUGCGACGCCGCGUGAGGGAUGAAGGUCUUCGGAUUGUAAACCUCUGUCACUGGGGAAGAAACGCUUCACGAUAACAGCGUGAAGCCUGACUUAACCCGGAGAGGAAGCAGUGGCUAACUCUGUGCCAGCAGCCGCGGUAAUACAGAGACUGCAAGCGUUAUUCGGAUUCACUGGGCGUAAAGGGUGCGCAGGCGGCCGUGUGUGUGAGGCGUGAAAGCCCGGAGCUCAACUCCGGAAUUGCACCUCAAACUACACGGCUAGAGCAUUGGAGAGGGUAGCAGAAUUCACGGUGUAGCAGUGAAAUGCGUAGAUAUCGUGAGGAAUACCAGAGGCGAAGGCGGCUACCUGGACAAUUGCUGACGCUCAGGCACGAAAGCGUGGGGAGCAAAAGGGAUUAGAUACCCCUGUAGUCC
rnacentral:rRNA from 1 species